ACAUCCUGCCAUUGCAGUUAACACUUUGGUCUUGAUAAGUUCGAGAGAAUCAUAUCGAGCUCUUUUAAACGUGUCAAUUUAUAUUAAUUAUAGUGCUUAUUAAAUCUCACGUCAAGAUUUCGUUUCAAAGUUUGUAUGCAAAAUCGAGAGAAACAGUGACUAGGAGAAAAAGAGAAUCGCUAGCCGUGGACACUUAUUCGAGACCAAGACUGACCUUAAAGUCGUUCACUGGAAAAGAUUUGAUUGCAAAAGUUAAAUAAGGUCGAGAAGAUUAAUAUUUGUUCAAAUCUCGAUGUGAUAUCUGAUUGAGAUAAAAUUAAAAUGCGAGACAAUUUACAAAAAUAUAUCGAACGUAAAAAAACUUCGUCCUUCGAUUAAAAAAAAAAAAAGAAAAAAGACAACUUUAGACUUUAGAUCAAGGAGACAGUAGGAUCGAAGGUGGAGCGCAUCAGUGUGUGUUUUUCAGCACCCUAUGAGUGGUAGUUGCACGCGUCACCCGAUGUGGACUAUGACGAAGACGUUUCGUAGUGACGCUACGAAAAUCAUCCGCGGAGAUGAUCGACACACGACGGCGAUUCUCGGUUACUUUCUCCUCGCGAGGAAAAAGCGAGUCCGGCGCAGCACGCGGGAAUUAAUCGCGCGAGCGGGACGAGGACACGCAGCGUGACGGAGCAAGACGGCGCGCGCUCGUGAUCGCUCUCGGCAGGCAGGCACACAGGUUAACGCAGGUUGGAGGUUAACCUCCCGCCACAGAAAAGCGUAACGUAAGAUCGCGCGGAGGACAGCGCGCACGAACGCGAGAAAAAGAGUUCGCAAUACUUCUCGAUCGUUUCGGGAAGAAGAAAGAGAGAAAGCGCAC